UUCGGGUUGUAAAGUACUUUCAGCAGUGAGGAAGGUGGGUAUGUUAAUAGCAUAUUCAUUUGACGUUUAGCUGCAGAAGAAGCACCGGCUAACUCCGUGCCAGCAGCCGCGGUAAUACGGAGGGUGCGAGCGUUAAUCGGAAUUACUGGGCGUAAAGCGCAUGCAGGUGGUUUGUUAAGUCAGAUGUGAAAGCCCGGGGCUCAACCUCGGAAUUGCAUUUGAAACUGGCAAACUAGAGUACUGUAGAGGGGGUAGAAUUUCAGGUGUAGCGGUGAAAUGCGUAGAGAUCUGAAGGAAUACCGGUGGCGAAGGCGGCCCCCUGGACAGAUACUGACACUCAGAUGCGAAAGCGUGGGGAGCAAACAGGAUUAGAUACCCUGGUAG
rnacentral:rRNA from 1 species